UAUUGCGCAAUGGACGAAAGUCUGACGCAGCGACGCCGCGUGGGGGAUGAAGGUCUUCGGAUUGUAAACCCCUUUCGGGAGGGAAGAUGGAGUGGGUAACCACUUGGACGGUACCUCCAGAAGCAGCCACGGCUAACUUCGUGCCAGCAGCCGCGGUAAUACGAAGGUGGCAAGCGUUGUUCGGAUUCACUGGGCGUACAGGGAGCGUAGGCGGUUGGGUAAGCCCUCCGUGAAAUCUCCGGGCCUAACCCGGAAAGUGCAGAGGGGACUGCUCAGCUAGAGGAUGGGAGAGGAGCGCGGAAUUCCCGGUGUAGCGGUGAAAUGCGUAGAGAUCGGGAGGAAGGCCGGGGCGAAGGCGGCGCUCUGAACAUUCUGACGCGAGGCCGAA
rnacentral:rRNA from 1 species